UUGGAGAUGUGGGGUUUGGGAUGCUGUAGGGUUUUGGGAUGCGGUAGGUUUGGGAUGGGGGUUGGGAAGCUUUGGGAUUGGAGAUGUGGGGUUUGGGAUGCUGUAGGAUUGGGGUUGGGGAUGGGGUAGGUUUGGGGUAAGAUGGGGGGUUGGGAAGCUUUGGGAUUGGAGAUGCUGUAGGGUUUGGGGUUUGGGAUGGGGUGGUUUUGAGGUGGCCUGGGGGUUGGGAAACUUUGGGAUUGGAGAUGCUGUGGGGUUUGGGAUGCUGUGGGAUUGGGGUCACUGUGGGGUUGGGGAUUGGAUGGGUUUGGGGUGGGCUGGGGGUUGGGAAGCUUUGGGAUUGGAGAUGCUGUGGGGUUUGGGAUGCUGUGGGGUUUGGGAUGCUGUGGGAUUGGGGUCACUACAGGGCUGGGAAUUGUGUGGGUUUGGGAUGCUGUAGGGUGGGGGGGGGGUUGGGAUGAUGGGGGGGUUGGGACCCUUUGGGAUUCGGGACGCUGUGGGGUUGGGAUGGGGUGGGAUUUGGGGUCACUGUGGGGUUUGGGAUCUUUUUCCUCACUUUUUCCAUUUCUCUCCUUUUUGAAACCUUUCCUCAUUGUUUUUUAUUUUCCCCUUUCAACCCAAAUUUUUAUUUUCCCCCAUUUUUACUUUUUUAUUCUCCUUUUUUCUCUCAUUCCCCCCCUUUUCCAUCCGUUUCUUUCCAUAUUAUCUAUUUCCUCACUUUUUCCAUUUCUCUCCUUUUUGAAACCUUUCCUCAUUGUUUUUUAUUUUCCCCUUUCAACCCAAAUUUUUAUUUUCCCCCAUUUUUACUUUUUUAUUCUCCUUUUUUCUCUCAUUCCCCCCCUUUUCCAUCCAUUUCUUUCCAUAUUUAUCUUCUUUUCCUCCCCUUCUUCCUCCUUUCCUUCUCAUUUAUUUCCCUUUCCUCCUUUUUUUCCUUCCUUUUCCAUCUUUUUCCCCUCAUUUCCCCUUUCUAUUAUUUCCCUUUUUCUCCUUCCCACCAUUUUUCCUCUUUUUCCCUCUUUUUCUCCCCAUUUCCUCCUCCUUUCCACCCCUUUUCCCUCCUUCUUCCUCAUCCAUUUUUCCCUUCCUUUUCCCCUCCUUUUCCCUUUAUUCAUUUCAUCCCAUUUUCUCCUUUUUUCCCCUCUCAUUUCCUUCUUUUCCAUCAAUUCCCCCCCAUUUCCCCCCAUUUCCCCCCAUCCUUUCCUCCCUCUUCCCUCCAUUUCCACCUUUUUUCCUCCUUCUUUUCCAUCCUUCCUCCCCCCUUUUUUCCCCCUCUAUUCAUUUCUUCCCCAUUUUCUCCUUUUUUCCUCCUUUUUUCCCCCUUUUCCACCCAUUCCCCCCCAUUUCCCCACAUUUCUCCCCAUCCUUUCCUUCCCUCCCUCUUCCCUCCAUUUCCACCUUUUUUCCUCCUCCUUUUCCAUCCCCCCCCUUUUCCCCCUCUAUUCAUUUCUUCCCCAUUUUCUCCUUUUUUCCCCUUUUUUCCUCCUUUUUUCCCCUUUUUUCCUCCUUUUUUCCUCCUUUUUUCCUCCUUUUUUCCUCCUUUUUUCCUCCUUUUUUCCUCCUUUUUUCCUCCUUUUUUCCUCCUUUUUUCCUCCUUUUUUCCCCUUUUCCACCCAUUCCCCCCCAUUUCCCCACAUUUCCCCCCAUCCUUUCCUCCCUCUUCCCUCCAUUUCCACCUUUUUUCCUCCUCCUUUUCC
ensembl:lncRNA